rnacentral:tRNA from 1 species
GCGGUCGUGGCCAAGCGGUUAAGGCGGAGGUUUGUGGCACCUCUAUUCGUGGGUUCGAAUCCCAUCGAUCGCC